UCAAGCGAACAAGGGCGCAGGGCGAAUGCCUUGGCACUGGGAGCCGAUGAAAGACGUGAUAAGCUGCGAUAAGCUUCGGGGAGCUGCAAAUAAGCAUUGAUCCGGAGAUUUCUGAAUGAGGAAACUCACCUGGGUUCAUACUCAGGUACAAUACACUGAAAUUUAAAAUAGGUGUAUUGAGGGAACCGCCUGAACUGAAACAUCUAAGUAGGGCGAGGAAGAGACAUCAAACGAGAUUCCGUAAGUAGUGGCGAGCGAACGCGGAAGAGGGCAAACCGAGAGUAGAAAUACUUUCGGGGUACGGACUGCUUUUAAGACUCAAUCUGUUAACCGAACGGCAUGGGAAGGCCGGUCAGAGAGUGUGAGAACCACGUAGGUGAAAACGGAGAGAGCUGCGCAGGAUCCAGAGUACGGCCAGACACGUGAAACCUGGUCGGAAUACGGGGGGACCACCCUCCAACCCUAAAUACUACCCAGUGACCGAUAGCGUAUAGUACUGUGAAGGAAAGGUGAAAAGCACCCCGGGAGGGGAGUGAAAAAGAACCUGAAACCCUGUGCCUACAAGCACCUAGAGCGCGUCAAAGCGUGAUAGGGUACUUUUUGUAGAACGGUCCGGCGAGCGAUUGUAUGCAGCAAGGUUAAGGACUUAAGGUCUGGAGCCGAAGCGAAAGCGAGUUUGAAAAGGGCGUUAAGUUGCAUAUAAUGGGCCCGAAACCGGGUGACCUACCCAUGGUCAGGUUGAAGUGGAAGUAAAAUUCCAUGGAGGACCGAACCGACCUCCGUUGAAAAGGCGGCGGAUGAACUGUGGGUAGCGGAGAAAUUCCAAUCGAACCCGGAGAUAGCUGGUUCUCCCCGAAAUAGUUUUAGGACUAGCCUCAAGUUAGAUACCUGGAGGUAAAGCACUGAAUAGCCUAGCGGCCGAGAGGUUAGCGAAGCUUAUCAAACUCAGAAUGCCAGAGUAUUGAUGCUUGGGAGUCAGACAGUGUCAGAUAAAUGUCAUUGUCAAAAGGGAAACAGCCCAGAUCUACAGCUAAGGUCCCAAAGUCAGGUUAAGUGGAAAACGAUGUGAAGAUACGCAGACAACCAGGAUGUUGGCUCAGAAGCAGCCACUCAUUCAAAGAGUGCGUAAUAGCUCACUGGUCGAGCGUCUUUGCGCGGAGAAUUUAACGGGGCUAAACCUGACACCGAAGCUUAGGCAAUGCACGUAAGUGUAUUGGGUAGGGGAGCGUUGUAUACGCGGAGAAACAGUAGCGUAAGCGGCUGUGGAGUGUAUAGAAGUGAGAAUGCCGGAAUGAGUAGCGCGAAUGCAGUGAGAAUCUGCAUGGCCGAAAGCCUCAGGUUUCUGGAGGAAGGUUCGUCCGCUCCAGGUUAGUCGGGAGCUAAGGUGAGGCCGGAAGGCGUAGCCGAUGCACAGACGGUAGAGAUUCCGUCACCACCAAAAGAGUUAAGCACAGGGACACAUAUGAAGUCUCAGAGCCGGGUGUUGGUUCCGGUAGAGAUCGAGGGAAAUUAGUACCGAAGUCUGAGAUGGAAGAUGGCGAGAAAAGCUGUGUGUAUUUCUGAGGUGCCCGUACCGCAAACCGACACAGGUAGGUAGGAAGAAGAUUCUAAGGCCAACGGGAGAAGGGUUGUUAAGGAACUCGGCAAAUUGACCCCGUAACUUCGGGAGAAGGGGUGCUCCAGAGAUGGAGCCGCAGAGAAUCGGCCCAAGCAACUGUUUACCAAAAACACAGGUUUGUGCUAAAUCGAAAGAUGACGUAUACGAGCUGACGCCUGCCCGGUGCUGGAAGGUUAAGAGGAGAUGUGCAAGCAUUGAAUCGAAGCCCCAGUGAACGGCGGCCGUAACUAUAACGGUCCUAAGGUAGCGAAAUUCCUUGUCAGGUAAGUUCUGACCCGCAUGAAAGGCGUAAUGAUUUGGGCACUGUCUCAAC
rnacentral:rRNA from 1 species